rnacentral:rRNA from 1 species
CCCUUAGAUGUCCUGGGCCGCACGCGUGCUACACUGACGCAUACAGCGAGUACUCCCGGCUCCGCAAUGGCAGCUGGUAAUCAUCAAUAUGCGUCGUGAUGGGGAUAGAUCUCUGGAAUUUUUGAUCUUGAACGAGGAAUGCCUAGUAAGCGCAGGUCAUCAGCCUGCGUUGAUUAAGUCCUUGCCCUUUGUACACACCGCCCGUCGCUCCUACCGAUUUCGAGUGGUCCGGUGAACCUUUCGGACCGGGAGCAGCCUCGUGCUGCGCCUGGAAAGUCAAGUAAACCACAUCACUUAGAGGAAGGAGAAGUCGUAACA